UACGAAGGGGGCAAGCGUUGUUCGGAUUUACUGGGCGUAAAGGGCGCGUAGGCGGAUCUUUAAGUCAGAGGUGAAAGCCCUGGGCUCAACCCGGGAAUUGCCUUUGAGACUGGGGGUCUUGAGUAUGGGAGAGGGUGGCGGAAUACCCAGUGUAGAGGUGAAAUUCGUAGAUAUUGGGUAGAACACCAGUGGCGAAGGCGGCCACCUGGCCCAUAACUGACGCUGAGGCGCGAAAGCGUGGGGAGCAAACAGG
rnacentral:rRNA from 1 species